rnacentral:rRNA from 1 species
AUUGAACGCUGGCGGCAGGCCUAACACAUGCAAGUCGAACGAUGGGCGGACGGGUGAGUAAUGUCUGGGGAACUGCCUGAUUGAGGGGGAUAAAUACUGGAAACGGUAGCUAAUACCGCAUACUAUCAGAUGAGCCCAUCUGGGAUUAGCUUGUCGGUGGGGUAACGGCUCACCAAGGCGACGCUCCCUAGCUGGUCUGAGAGGAUGACCAGCCACACUGUAACUGAGACACGGUCCAGACUCCUAAGGUAGGCAGCAGUGGGGAAUAUUGCACAAUGGGCGCAAGCCUGAUGCAGCCAUGCCGCGUGUAUGAAGAAGGCCGUAGGUGUGUAAAGUACGUUCAGCGGGGAGGCGUUACCCGCAGAAGAAGCACCGGCUAACUCCGUGCCAGCAGCCGCGGUAAUAC